UACAGAGGGUGCGAGCGUUGUUCGGAAUUAUUGGGCGUAAAGGGCGCGUAGGCGGUGCGGUAAGUCACCUGUGAAAUCUCCUGGCUCAACUGGGAGCUUGCAGGCGAAACUGCCGUGCUGGAGUGUGGGAGAGGUGCGUGGAAUUCCUGGUGUAGCGGUGAAAUGCGUAGAUAUCGGAAGGAACACCAGUGGCGAAAGCGGCUUCCUGGUCCGACACCGACGUUCAGGCACGAAAGCGUGGGGAGCAAACAGG
rnacentral:rRNA from 1 species